UAACAACACAUACAAACACACAUUCGUGUGUGUUCUACGUCGACCAGAAGCUCCCAAAGGAGCCAAACCCUAGCUCAAGCUUAUUUGCUCAAAUUGAAAGGGGAAUUCAACCCAAAUCUAAUGCAUGUACCCGAAUUCUUAAAUAGGAACCACACUAGCAUGGACCAAGCAUGGAAGGCUAACGGGUCAAGAUGAGGCAAGCAAGCGGGUAUGAACACAGAUGCACAAGGUAAGUGAUUCCGUAAUCACUUCUUAGUUGUUUAUGUAAUGUUAUAUGCAAUUUAAUUAUAUGUGAUAAUUGAGGUCAAAUAGGAAUGAAUUGUAUGAUGGCAAUGAAUGUAUUAAACGGAUCUUAGUUUUGAUCCGAGCAAGGAAGGUGUGAUUAAGAAAUUGUAGCUAAGUAGUGGAAUUGGUUACUUAUGUAAGGAAUUCCUUUGUUAUUAAGGAUAGAGCAUAGUUGACUAAAAUGCCCUUGAUAGGUAUAUCGGGCAAACGACCUUAGAAGUCGUUUUGAAACGAGUUAUUCGAUUAGAGUAAUGUCUUGGACAAGUAUGAAAGCGAAGUAUAGGGUUUGGUAUGUCAUAGUCCACUUAAUGCGCAAAUACCCAUAACGGGUCAAAAAUAAGCCUUUGAGCGAAAAUGGGUUAAGAGGAUGCAAGACGUCCGAGAAUUUAAUCUUUUAUGAUAGGUGCCAAUGAAAUUAUUAAAGUUCAUAUGAGAUUGAGGUCAAAUAAACAGAUUAUGUUGAUAAAUGCACGAACGGGUCAAUUAGUUAGAAAAUGAUAAUAUGUCGAAUGCACGUA
rnacentral:lncRNA from 1 species